UACGUAGGGUGCAAGCGUUAAUCGGAAUUACUGGGCGUAAAGCGUGCGCAGGCGGCUUUGCAAGCCAGAUGUGAAAUCCCCGGGCUUAACCUGGGAAUGGCAUUUGGGACUGCAAGGCUGGAGUGCGGCAGAGGAGACUGGAAUUCCUGGUGUAGCAGUGAAAUGCGUAGAUAUCAGGAGGAAUACCGAUGGCGAAGGCAGGUCUCUGGGCUGACACUGACGCUCAUGCACGAAAGCGUGGGGAGCAAACAGG
rnacentral:rRNA from 1 species